AAUAGAAAAUACCAAACCUGUUGUGAAGCAGGGACGGAAAGCCACGGGUCUUAAAGUUGCAUCAAUAGAAAGCCGGGUUGCCUUU
rnacentral:ncRNA from 1 species